GAUGAAGAACGCAGCGAAAUGCGAUAAGUAAUGUGAAUUGCAGAAUUCAGUGAAUCAUCGAAUCUUUGAACGCACAUUGCGCCCGCCAGCAUUCUGGCGGGCAUGCCUGUUCGAGCGUCAUUUCAACCCUCGAGCCCCCCCGGGGGCCUCGGUGUUGGGGGACGGCACACCAGCCGCCCCCGAAAUGCAGUGGCGACCCCGCCGCAGCCUCCCCUGCGUAGUAGCACACACCUCGCACCGGAGCGCGGAGGCGGUCACGCCGUAAAACGCCCAACUUUCUUAGAGUUGACCUCGGAUCAGGUAGGAAUACCCGCUGAACUUAAGCACAUCAAUAAGCGGAGGA
rnacentral:misc_RNA from 1 species